rnacentral:rRNA from 1 species
GAUGAACGCUGGCGGCGUGCCUAAUACAUGCAAGUCGAGCGAACAGACGAGGAGCUUGCUCCUCUGACGUUAGCGGCGGACGGGUGAGUAACACGUGGAUAACCUACCUAUAGGACUGGGAUAACUUCGGGAAACCGGAGCUAAUACCGGAUAAUAUAUUGAACCGCAUGGUUCAAUAGUGAAAGACGGUUUUGCUGUCACUUAUAGAUGGAUCCGCGCCGCAUUAGCUAGUUGGUAAGGUAACGGCUUACCAAGGCAACGAUGCGUAGCCGACCUGAGAGGGUGAUCGGCCACACUGGAACUGAGACACGGUCCAGACUCCUACGGGAGGCAGCAGUAGGGAAUCCUCCGCAAUGGGCGAAAGCCUGACGGAGCAACGCCGCGUGAGUGAUGAAGGUCUUCGGAUCGUAAAACUCUGUUAUUAGGGAAGAACAAAUGUGUAAGUAACUAUGCACGUCUUGACGGUACCUAAUCAGAAAGCCACGGCUAACUACGUG